rnacentral:lncRNA from 1 species
UUGAAUCCUUGCUUGGUCGCUCUUGAUCCUCCAAAAUCGCUCCAAAUGUUGUUCUCAGUGUCAAAAAUUCGAUAAUGAUCCAGAUCUGAUGUUUCCUUUUUAUAAAAAUGAUCAAAAGUAACGUUUUCCGCCUGAGGCACAGAAUUUCCGCCCCAGGCGUAAGAAGUUACGUUUCAGGCACAAGAAUUCCGCCUGAAACGGCAAAACAGUGAGCAAACCAGCUUCUUCAGUGAAAUUUCCGCCCCAGGCGGAAAAAUUCCGUUUUAGGCGUAAAAAUACUAUACAAUCCAACAAUUUUCAUUUGCUAUCUUUCUUCGCAUGUAGCUUCAAAUCAAUGUUUCAUUCUUCAUGAUUUAGGUCAAAAACCUCUAAAAAUACUUGAAAAUGGUCUUUAUUUCCAUGUAAUGACUAACGUCAUCAAU